GACGAACGCUGGCGGCGUGCCUAAUACAUGCAAGUCGAGCGGACUUUCAAGAAGCUUGCUUUUUGAAAGUUAGCGGCGGACGGGUGAGUAACACGUGGGCAACCUGCCUGCAAGACGGGGAUAACUCCGGGAAACCGGGGCUAAUACCGGAUAAUAUCUUCCUUCGCAUGAAGGAAGGUUGAAAGGCGGCGCAAGCUGCCGCUUGCAGAUGGGCCCGCGGCGCAUUAGCUAGUUGGUGAGGUAACGGCUCACCAAGGCGACGAUGCGUAGCCGACCUGAGAGGGUGAGCAGCCACACUGGGACUGAGACACGGCCCAGACUCCUACGGGAGGCAGCAGUAGGGAAUCUUCCGCAAUGGACGAAAGUCUGACGGAGCAACGCCGCGUGAGCGAAGAAGGUCUUCGGAUCGUAAAGCUCUGUUGUCAGGGAAGAACAAGUACCGUUCGAACAGGGCGGUACCUUGACGGUACCUGACCAGAAAGCCACGGCUAACUACGUG
rnacentral:rRNA from 1 species